rnacentral:rRNA from 1 species
GACGAACGCUGGCGGCGUGCCUAAUACAUGCAAGUAGAACGCUGAAGGAGGAGCUUGCUCUUCUGGAUGAGUUGCGAACGGGUGAGUAACGCGUAGGUAACCUGCCUGGUAGCGGGGGAUAACUAUUGGAAACGAUAGCUAAUACCGCAUAAGAGUAGAUGUUGCAUGACAUUUGCUUAAAAGGUGCAAUUGCAUCACUACCAGAUGGACCUGCGUUGUAUUAGCUAGUUGGUGAGGUAACGGCUCACCAAGGCAACGAUACAUAGCCGACCUGAGAGGGUGAUCGGCCACACUGGGACUGAGACACGGCCCAGACUCCUACGGGAGGCAGCAGUAGGGAAUCUUCGGCAAUGGACGGAAGUCUGACCGAGCAACGCCGCGUGAGUGAAGAAGGUUUUCGGAUCGUAAAGCUCUGUUGUAAAGAGAAAGAAACGAAGUGUGAAGAAGUGGAAAAGUUCAAC